rnacentral:rRNA from 1 species
AUACGAGGGGUGCAAGCGUUAAUCGGAAUUACUGGGCGUAAAGCGUUCGUAGGCGGUUUGUUACGCAAGAUGUGAAAGCCCUGGGCUCAACCUGGGAACUGCAUUUUGAACUGGCAAGCUAGAAUACUGUAGAGGGUGGUGGAAUUUCCAGUGUAGCGGUGAAAUGCGUAGAGAUUGGAAGGAACAUCAGUGGCGAAGGCGGCCACCUGGACAGAUAUUGACGCUGAGGAACGAAAGCGUGGGGAGCGAACAGGAUUAGAAACCCCGGUAGUCC